rnacentral:rRNA from 1 species
AUUGAACGCUGGCGGAAUGCUUUACACAUGCAAGUCGAACGGCAGCACGGGGGCAACCCUGGUGGCGAGUGGCGAACGGGUGAGUAAUACAUCGGAACGUGCCCAGUCGUGGGGGAUAACGUAGCGAAAGCUACGCUAAUACCGCAUACGAUCUACGGAUGAAAGCGGGGGAUCGCAAGACCUCGCGCGAUUGGAGCGGCCGAUGGCAGAUUAGGUAGUUGGUGGGGUAAAGGCUCACCAAGCCGACGAUCUGUAGCUGGUCUGAGAGGACGACCAGCCACACUGGGACUGAGACACGGCCCAGACUCCUACGGGAGGCAGCAGUGGGGAAUUUUGGACAAUGGCGCAAGCCUGAUCCAGCCAUUCCGCGUGCAGGAUGAAGGCCUC